AGGGAGGGCUUCUCUCCGCUCACCUGGGGGAAAGCUCCUGUCACCUGAGGGAAGGAUCCUCUUCUCUCACCUGAGGGAGGGCUUCUGUCCUGCCAUUUGAGGGAAGGUUUCUCUUCUGUCAGCUGAGGGAAGGAUCCUCUCCUCUCACCCGAGGGAAAGCUUCUGUCCUGUCAGCUGAGGGCUUCUGUCCUAUCAGCCGAGGGCUUCUGUCCUGUCAGCUGAGAGAAAGCUUCUGUCCUGUCACAUGAGGCAGGGUUUCUCUUCGCUCACCUGUCGGAAAGCUUCUCUUCUGCCAGCUGAGGGAAGGAUCUCUUUUCACCUGAGGGAAAUCUUCUCUUCUCUCACCUCAGGGAAGGCUUCUGUCCUCUCACCUGAGUGUCAGGAAGUGGAGCUGAGUUGGCAGUAUACGGCAGCAGUAUAUGCCAUCCCAGAGAAGGCUGUAAAAGCUCAGUAAGUGGGAGAUGACAGAGCCAACGCACUGCCUGUGUUAGGGGAGCAACAGAACUCCGAUAGUGAUGUAAAUUAUUGGAGCAGUGUUCAUCUAGGGAAUUGCAGACAGACAAAGCAGCUCUGAGGAAAUGCAUCCCUGUCAAAGAAACUUUUUUUCAGCUGAAGCUUGAAUAACAGCAGAAAUGAAAAGCAGAGUAAUCUGGUGAGGGGGAAAAUGAACUGCAGAAACUGUAAGUAUUUUUGAAUGAUUUCGUACAUAGCUCACUUAUCUGAUGAGCAGAUUCCUAUAUGCAUUUCUGGACACAUUUUUUUUGUCUUUGAAGAAUGAAAAUUGCAUUUCCUUUAAUGUAAUGUGUAGGCAGAUUAUUUAUUUCCUGUUCUCUAAAUAUGUGGAUGGAAUAUUUUAUAUGAAGAAUGGAAUUUCAAAUAUUUAUAGGGGAGAAAACUCUUUUAUUUUGCCUUCCAAGUAUACACAAACAUUUUGAUCUAAAUAUACACUGAUACUUUGGUUGUGUGGUCAACAUCUUUUAAUGGGACAUACCUAUAAGCAACUAAUCAUAAUAUUUAAGACUGGCUUUUUCAUUUCAGUUUACGGAGUUAGUUACAUUUCUAUUGCUUUCUUCAAGAGUCAACUUACGGGACUAUGUUAAUAUCAAUUACUUACCUGCAUUCACACAAGAGCAAACUCAGUGCUAAAACUGUCAUCCUGGAAUAAGUUUGCAUGGAGUUUUAUGACAGUCUGAAACAAAUUUUUAUGAACAGUUUUUGUUUAGUGUGGUUCCCAGCAAACAGGUGUGUAUGUGUUUGUUUCAUGGGAUCAGUUUUGAACAGGACAAAUCAACUCUAGCCAAUAGGAGACUAAGGAACUCUGCAUUCUGCUACCAAACUCAGACCACCAGGAAAAAGUA